AUUGAACGCUGGCGGCAGGCCUAACACAUGCAAGUCGAACGAGUGGCGGACGAGUGAGUACUGUCUGGGAAACUGCCUGAUGGAGGGGGAUAACUACUGGAAACGGGAGCUAAUACCGCAUACCAUCGGAUGUGCCCAGAUGGGAGUAGCUAGGAGGUGGGGUAAAGGCUCACCUAGGCGACGAUCCCUAGCUGGUCUGAGAGGAUGACCAGCAACACGGGAACUGGGACACGGUCCAGACUCCUACGGGAGGCAGCAGUGGGGAAUAUUGCACAAGGGGCGCAAGCCUGAUGCAGCCAUGCCGCGUGUAUGAAGAAGGCCUUCGGGUUGUAAAGUACUUUCAGCGGGGAGGCGUUACCCGCAGAAGAAGCACCGGCUAACUCCGUGCCAGCAGCCGCGGUAAUUC
rnacentral:rRNA from 1 species